rnacentral:rRNA from 1 species
AGAUAGUUGGCAGGGUAACGGCCUACCAAGUCUGCGAUCCAUAGCCGAACUGAGAGGUUGAACGGCCACAUUGGAACUGAGAAACGGUCCAGACUCCUACGGGAGGCAGCAGUGGGGAAUAUUGGGCAAUGGGCGAAAGCCUGACCCAGCGACGCCGCGUGAGGGAAGAAGGUCUUCGGAUUGUAAACCUCUUUCAGCAGGGAAGAAGAAAGUGACGGUACCUGCAGAAGAAGUCACGGCUAACUACGUGCCAGCAGCCGCGGUAAUACGUAGGUGGCGAGCGUUAUCCGGAAUUACUGGGUGUAAAGGUUGUGUAGGCGGGGUGUCAAGUCAGAUGUGAAAACUGCGGGCUCAACCCACAAACUGCAUUUGAAACUGAUACUCUUGAGAGUGGGAGAGGUAAACGGAAUUCCUGGUGUAGUAGUGAAAUGCGUAGAUAUCAGGAGGAACACCGGUGGCGAGGGCGGUUUACUGGACCACAACUGACGCUGAGACACGAAAGCGUGGGGAGCAAACAGGAUUAGAUACCCUGGUAGUCCACGCUGUAAACGAUGAAUACUAGGUGUGGGGAUCGUAGGAUUUCCGUGCCGCAGUUAACGCAAUAAGUAUUCCACCUGGGGAGUACGGCCGCAAGGUUGAAACUCAAAGGAAUUGACGGGAGCCCGCACAAGCAGUGGAGUAUGUGGUCUAAUUCGACGCAACGCGAAGAACCUUACCGGAGCUUGACAUCCUCGGAAGACCGAUGUAAAGUUGGUCGUGCUCCUUCGGGAGAACCGAGAGACAGGUGGUGCAUGGUUGUCGUCAGCUCGUGUCGUGAGAUGUUGGGUUAAGUCCCGCAACGAGCGCAACCCUUAUGUUUAGUUGCUACGAAAGAGCACUCUGGACAGACUGCCGUUGACAAAACGGAGGAAGGUGGGGACGACGUCAAAUCAUCAUGCCCCUUACGCUCCGGGCUACACACGUACUACAAUGGUGAGAACAAAGGGAAGCUAAGCCGCGAGGCGGAGCGAACCCCAUAAAAAUCAUCCCAGUUCGGACUGCAGGCUGCAACUCGCCUGCACGAAGUUGGAAUUGCUAGUAAUCGCGGAUCAGCAUGCCGCGGUGAAUACGUUCCCGGGCUUUGUACACACCGCCCGUCAAACCAUGAAAGUUGGGAACACCCGAAGCCUGUGUUCUAACCGCAAGGAGGAAGCAGUCGAAGGUGGGUUCAAUGAUUGGGGUUAAGUCGAAACAAGGUAGCCGUAUCGGAAGGUGCGGCUG